GGAAGUUCUUCAGAUGAUUCUAAUGUGCAGUCAGAAUUAAAAACCAUUGAUCUAGAUCUAGAAUUAUGUAAGUAAAUUUCAGAUACUAGAAGUUAUUUUUUAAAGAUGAAUGUAUUGAUUAAACAAAUAGCUUUUAUUAUAAGAAAUUUUGAACCCAGAACGUUGAGAGUAUGAUGAAUCUCAUAUACCUAUCACCCAGAUUUUUGUUGUCAAGAUUUUAAUAGUUGCUUUGUUUGAAUCAGGAUCCAAACAAGGCCCUCAGUAGACUUGGUUUUAUGUUUCUUUUAAUUAAUCUUUGUAGUUUUCUCUCUUUAACUCUCAUGCUAUUAUAGAAAAUGGGUUGUUUGUCCUAUAGAAUUUUUUUUUUAGUUGUCAGUUGACCUUUAUUAUUUAUUUAUUUAUAUGAGGUGCUGAGAAUCAAACCCAGUGCCUCACACAUGUUAGGCAAGCACUCCACCCCUGAGCUAAAACUCUAGUGCCUGUAGAAUGUUUUACAUCCUGUAGUUGUCUUGGUAGCCAUUUAACUUGUUGUUAGCCAAUUAAUUUGCAUAUCUUUCUCCUGCAUUUUCUGUAAAUGAAAAUUAGCUCUACAUUGGAGUCUUGGUUAUGUUCAGCUUUUUUUUUUUUAAACAAGUACAGGUUUGGUUGUUCUACUCUUAUAUUAAAGGCAAAAUUGAUGAAAAUAGUUCAGAGGGACAGCCUGUUCUCUCCAUUAUUAACUUUCCUAUCAACCUUAUAUUAUUUUCUAAAUCAGGCAACAGUUGCAAAAUGUUGAUUUUCUAGGUCUGUUGUUCCUUUCAUAUUUAGGGGCUAGAAUUCUUCUGUAAUGAGGAACUUCCUUACAACUAAAGCUAACAACUAGGGUGGGCCAUAAUUAUAGUAUAUAUAGGAAAAACACGAGUGAUUUUUUUUUUUUAUUAUUGAUUUUUUAGAAUAAGGAAUUUCAGUGAAGAUAUUUUGAGUUAAAAGUUUUCUCUCUGUUACAGUUCAUGUUUUCACAGGAAUGUUUAAAUGUUGACUGACAAAUAAAUUUGAGCAUUCCUAAUCUAAAAAUCUGAAUCCAUAAUGCUCCAAAAUCUGAAAUUUUUUUGAGUAUCAUUUCAGCAUUGAAAAAAUUUCAGGUAUUAGAGCAUUUAGGAUAUUAGAUUUUUAGUUUGGAGAUGCUUAUCUUGUAAAGUCUAUGCAAGUAUUCCAAUAUCUGAAAAAUUCUUGAAAUCUGAAAUAUUUCAGGUCCCAAGCAUUUCCCUUAAGAGAUUCUCAGCAUAUAUUGGCUUUGUGACCUCCUAGGAUUUCUCCAAAUCCAGACAGUGGCAUAAAAAUCUAAAAAAAUUUAAUUCUUUUAAUUUUUUUAAUGUCAUUGUUUUUAAAUCAAAUAAUGAUAUUAUAGUUCCAAAGAUGUUUGGAAUUAUUGGUCUAAAGUAGGCUAAAAAUGGAAUGAAUAAAGAUAGUGGGCAGAACCAGUGUACAUUUGGACUGGGAGGUUUGUAUGAGACUUUUUUUUUUUCUUUUUUGCAAUAAUUAAAAUAGAAUAUUAAAAUUUUUAUGCUGUGUGAAUUAUGCUAGUUAUACCUGCUGAAUGUUAUAAUGGUGUCUGAAUAAACUACUGGUUUUAUCAUCAAUGUAACAAAUAUGGCUUUUUCCAAGGUGAUUUUUACCUCUUCCAAGGUAAUCAUGUCUAGCAAUUGUUAGACAUUUUGAGUUAUAAGCAUGGCAUAUUAUUUGGGCAAAAUUACCCUUUUCAACAAAUAUUUAUUGAAUAAUGUUAGAUGCCAGGCACCAUUAUGGGAGAAUCUUUCAUCCUCCUAUUCAUUACUAGAAGAAUUGACAUUUAGAACACUUACAAAUUGAAAAUAUCUUCAAAGUGUCAUUUUUCUUUCUUAGAGUAUGGUAGUUAAUUUGUUGAAGAACACUCCUUGUUUUUUGGUUAGCAAACAUUUACUUAGGUGUUCUAGUUUCAUGGAAUGCAGUGGAUUGUGAUGUUGGAUUAUGAUUAUUUGUGGAAAGAGGAUAAUCUCUACUCCCAAGUCAAAAAUUAUAAGCUAUUCUUGAAUAUAACUCCUUGUAUGUUUAAGUCUAACUUUAGAUAUUAAGAAACUUAUUAAUAAGAUAUUUUAAGUGGGAGAUUUGAACAGUUUAUGAUUGGAGAUGAAACACUGGGAGGUGAUAGCAUCUUGGUGCUAGCCCCAAGCCAGCACUUAUAGAUGAUAAGGCCUUCUAAAUUUCUUUUGGUGUUUAGAAAUAUCUUCCAAGUAUGUAUUCCAUCAUAGUCAUUACUCCUUAACUAACCUUUAGAAUUCCAUUUGCCCUAAAUUUCUGUUUAAAUUUUUCAUUAUGUUGAACUUAUUGGUCUGAAUUCUGAGUCCCACAUGCAUUUUGCCUUAGCCUUUUACGUUUUAUUGGAAGUUCUUUUUUUAUAUACACGUCAUUGACAGUGGCUUACUGUGACAAUGAUUCUUACGUAAUGGCUUUGGAGUAGGAAGAUACAGUUUAGAAAAGUUUUAUUCUACCUCAACUCCCUUUUGAAAAUAAUAUUCCUAAGAAAUCCAUAAAGUCAGUUGAACUAUGGUAUUUAGCCACUUGGUAUAUAAAGUUAUAUUGGAAAUUAAUGAUAAAUCUGUAACUUUUUAAAUAUGUAUGUCUUUCUUAUUUUAGAAGCAUUAUUGGUACAUUGUAGAAAAUUAGAAAAUACAGAUAAAGUGUAAAUAUUCUCACCACCUGUAGAUAAACAUUUGCAGCAUCUUAGUAGAUCAUCCUGCCCUUCCUAUAUUUUGACGUAUUUAAGAUAAUAUGCAACUAUUGCUUUAUAACUUGGUGUUUGAAUAAUUUUUAUCUUCCUAUUUUAGUAAAUUUUCACCUGUUCUCAUACUCAGUCCAUAUCAAUUGUAACUUGUUUAUUUACCUUCUUUAUUUGCUAUAAAUGAAAGUUAGCUCUGGACUGAAGACUUAAUUAGCUGUAAGUUAACAAAAUGCCCUCAAAAUGUUUUUUACUGCCAGUUUGUCAAAACCAGCAUCCACUUCAGAGAAUACACUUGGCAUGUGGUUAUGUCUCUUAAU
rnacentral:lncRNA from 1 species